GAGAGACAGACACUGAGAGUGGAAUGCCUCCAGAAGCCGAUGUUGCCAUCCCCCGAAACAGUGGUUGCAUCGUUAGUGCUAAAAUCCCAGACAGUCCUUCAUGGGAACUGACUUCUCCAGCCCUCACUCACUCAGUGCUGUGUAUACAGCUCUGGAACGUGCAGCAGCAAGACAGACCGUGCAGCAAGAAAGAGGCAGACAGAAAGAGAGGAGCAGAGAGGAAAAGAGAAAAGGAGAGGAGAUGGAGAGAGAAACAGAGAGGCAGAGAGAAACAAAGAAAGAUCGAAAUGGGAGGAACAUGACAAGCCUUGUCAUAGGCAGACAGCAGGGGAAGCAGCAGCGGAGGCAAGACGGCAGCUUGGCAUUGAGAGCCGCAGAUUGAGCCCAGCUGAGGGAAGAUGGUGUAAACUAAAUGUGAAGCGGAGCCAGACCCUCAGCUAAAUCACCUUAGGGAUGAGAUUCCAAACAUGACUAGCUUCCAGUAUCUAAUAAUCAAAGGUUCCUCUCAAGGGGGAAACAUCACCCAAAACAGCAACAGAGUCAUGACAAGACAAUACAGUUGAAUCUACAGAAAUUAUACACAAUCAAAUGCAUGCCCGCACGCACAAACACAACUCUCUGCAUUUAUCCCCACAAGAGGAGAACCAUGAUGUCACCCUUUUCUAUUCUCCACACCACAGUGUAUUUUAAAUAGUGAAAGUUAACCCACUUACUCCACCUAGGGGGGAGUUUGGUAACUACAUCUACCAGGGUUGGGCUCAAAUUGAAUUGAAGGCAGUCAAUUCAGGAAAUUAUUUGAAUUUAAAAUUCAGGAAGGUUAAAAAUAAAAUAAAAUAAAUAGCUUCUGCUUUUCAGUUUAUUGAGAAGUGAUUGAAAAUAAAUUCCCCUUUUUGAUUAUUGAAUAGUAAUUUUUGUUUACUUCCUGAUUCGACUGCCUUUAAUUCAAAGCCCAACCCUGAUAUUACAGCCAAGCACGAUUGUGUCAACUUCGCUGUGGUAAAACAAAAAUAUCCUUAUACUGUAUAUUUUAUAUUCUCAAAGCAGCCAAAUUACAAAUGGAUGUGUGAAUAAAUGACAAACUAUACAAAUAUGUUUCCUGUUCUUGAAUUUCCUGUACGGUUAUAGCAAUGGAACUUUCGGUUGAACCCUUUGACCAGAUGGCACAUCUAUUUUUAUCAUCUUAUUUCCUACUGAAAUAUAAUUUUAUUCUAUAAAAUUGCUGUAAUUCAUAUUUACACUCAGUAAACUGUACUGUUGGCUUGACACUUCCACAUAUCUCUCCAUUCCCUCUCUGCCUUUCCCCCCAUUUCACCUCUUUGAUAAUGUCAUUCUGGACAUGGCUGUCUCCCCAAUCCCCCCAUCGUCACCUAUCCUUCACCUACCAUCCGUCUCUCUCACCUUCUCCUCCCCCCUUUCCCCUCACCUCUGUGGUGAC